rnacentral:rRNA from 1 species
GAUGAACGCUAGCGGCAGGCCUAAUACAUGCAAGUCGAGGGGUAGAGCUAGCUUGCUAGCUUGAGACCGGCGCACGGGUGCGUAACGCGUAUGCAACCUACCCUUUUCUGGGGGAUAGCCCGGAGAAAUCCGGAUUAAUACCGCAUAAGACCACGAUACGGCAUCGUGAUGUGGUCAAAUAAUUAUGGGAGAAGGAUGGGCAUGCGUGCCAUUAGCUAGUUGGCGAGGUAACGGCCCACCAAGGCGACGCUGGUUAGGAGAUCUGAGAGGACGGCCCCCCACACGAGGAAUGAGACACGAACAAGACUCCUACAGGAGGCAGCAGUAAGGCAUAUUGGUCGAUGGGGGCAAGCCUGAACCAGCCAUGCCGCGUGCAGGACGACGGCCCUCCGGGUUGUAAACUGCUUUUGUACGGGAAUAAACCCCGCUACGUGUAGUGGGCUGAAUGUACCGUAAGAAUAAGGAUCGGCUAACUCCGUGCCAGCCGCCGCGGUAACAC